ACGAACGCUGGCGGCGUGCUUAACACAUGCAAGUCGAACGGUGAAGCGCCUUCCUUUUUGGUGGGUGUGGAUGAGUGGCGAACGGGUGAGUAACACGUGAGUAACCUGCCCCCUUCUUCUGGAUAACCGCAUGAAAGUGUGGCUAAUACGGGAUAUUCUGGGUCUGUCGCAUGAUGGGUCUGGGAAAGAUAUUGUUUCGGUGGGGGAUGGGCUCGCGGCCUAUCAGCUUGUUGGUGGGGUGAUGGCCUACCAAGGCGGUGACGGGUAGCCGGCCUGAGAGGGUGGACGGUCACACUGGGACUGAGACACGGCCCAGACUCCUACGGGAGGCAGCAGUGGGGAAUAUUGCACAAUGGGCGCAAGCCUGAUGCAGCGACGCCGCGUGAGGGGUGGAGGCCUUCGGGUUGUGAACCUCUUUCGCCAGUGAAGCAGGCCUGCCUCGUUUGUGGGUGGGUUGACGGUAGCUGGAUAAGAAGCGCCGGCUAACUACGUG
rnacentral:rRNA from 1 species